rnacentral:rRNA from 1 species
GACGAACGCUGGCGGCGUGCUUAACACAUACAAGUCGAACGGAAAGGCCCUGCUUUUGUGGGGUGCUCGAGUGCCGAACGGGUGAGUAACACGUGAGUAACCUGCCCUUGACUUUGGGAUAACUUCAGGGAACUGGGGCUAAUACCGGAUAGGAGCUCCUGCUGCAUGGUGGGGGUUGGAAAGUUUCGGCGGGUGGGGAUGGACUCGCGGCUUAUCAGCUUGUUGGUGGGGUAGUGGCUUACCAAGGCUUUGACGGGUAGCCGGCCUGAGAGGGUGACCGGGGACAUUGGGACUGAGAUACGGACCAGACGGCUACGGGAGGCAGAAGUGGGGAAUCUUGCACAAUGGGCGGAAGCCUGAUGAAGCAGCGUCGCGUGCGGGAUGACGGCCUUCGGGUUGUAAACCGCUUUCGCCUGUGACGAAGCGUGAGUGACGGUAAUGGGUAAAGAAGCACCGGCUAACUACGUG